rfam:Capsicum annuum cultivar Zunla-1 chromosome 8, whole genome shotgun sequence
GCCUUAUGAUUUGGUCAUUGCUUUAACUUAUCAUUGAAAUAUUACCAAACUUCAUACAAUGGUUUGCCAUUAAGUUGGUGAAAGUUGGUGAUUUCAUCCCUUAGUU